rnacentral:lncRNA from 1 species
CAUCAACACCCUCAACUUAAGACAAUUGUUGUUCCUCAAGUAACUUAGCACCAAAUUGCAUACAUGAAUAAUACAAUGACAGGCAAUCAACUGUUGAACUAGAUUUCACACAACCAUUCACUUGCCAUCUCAUUCUUAAGAGCUCAACACAUCAGGAUCUACAACCGAUAUUAUUUAUAAUUCAACACACACACAAACAUGGAUAUGGUAUCCUAUAGAGAUCAGCAAAACUAGGUGUAACUCAAGUUGUCCUCACAGCCAAUGAAGUCCACCACUCAUUAUAUCUUGUGGACAAAAGUCCAGACUCUCACACUCAUCAAAGAAGUUACAAACAUAUGCUGCUUGUUUCACAUCUUUCAUCUCAAGGAUAAUUCUUAUUACCACUUUAACAACUAAAUUCAACCUCUUACUAGAAAUUCACUAGCACACAAUGCACCCAUCCACUUAUAUACCAUCCUGACAUUCAAGUCUAUCAUUAUACCUAGGGGUGGGCGUGGUACGGUAUAGUAUUUUAAAUUUUAGUACGGUAACUUCGGUUUUUGGUAUUUAAAAGAAUAAUACCAUUACCAUACCAAAUUAAUUUGGUAUGGUUUGAUAUUUUUAAAUUUGGUUUCGGUAUUUUACGGUAUGGUAAUUCGGUAACCAUACUUUAUUUGAUUUUGACUUACAUAUAUUCAUAUAAAAACUAUAACUUUAAACUUUAAAAACAUCUCAAACAUAUCAUACCAAUAACUAUUAUUUGUUAAUUAAUAACACAAAUAGAACAUUUUAAUAAUUAUUGAGUAGUCCAAGAUGCAAACUCUGAACAACAUUACCUAAACUUAAGCAUAGUACUCCUAAAUAAUAAGCUUCCAAAAAAUUUAUUUCUGAAUAAAAGUUACUUUUAUGUUCAAUUGGCUAAUGGAUGAUAUAUAAAUAUAUUUAAUAAUCUUAAAUAUAAUAUAUGAGUUUUAUAUAUUAUUAAAAAACUUCGGUGCGGUAUAAGUAUUUCGAUAUUUAUUGCAUAAAUAUCAAAUACCGUACCAAAUACCAUAAUAAUUUAAAAAUCCUACCAUAUACCAUACCAAAUACCAUAACAUCUAUACCGCGGUAUAAAAAAUUUCAAUUUUGGUAUGAUAUUCGGUAUAUACCAUACCAUGCCUACCCCUAAUUAUACCCACAUAUAAAUUUUUGGUCAAUCAACCUAUUUUGGAAUUUCACAAUAUUCUCUAACACCUCUUGUCAAUAACAACUUCCAAACACGAUCCCCAAGAAGAAACAUAUUGAUCGUAAUUUUUUUCGUCACCACUAAAAGGUUAGAACAUGAGUACUUGAAGCAUAAAAGAACACUAUGUAUAAAUUUAACACUUACUGAGGCCUGAGGAAUAGAAUACCAAAAACAUGAAUUCAUUUAAGAGAUCAAAACUAAGGACAUACAUAACAUAAUCUAAUUCCGUGGAUCAUUAAGAGUGAAGCAUAAGUAUAGGGAACUGAGUGUACUAUAAAGCAUGAGUACAUGAGUCAUGAGUUGCAUAACCUGAGUUUGGAGUUCAUAAAUUCAUAAAAUAUGAUUCGUACUGCUGAGUGAACUAGAACUCCUCAUACUAGGAAUUGGAAGCGUCAUGAUUUUUAUGGCAAAUGCAUGAAUAUGAGUUAUGAUCAUGGAGUUGACAUGUAAGGCAUGAGUAGAUGUCGUGAUGACUGAAAUACAACACUUUGUACCGAGAUAAAAAUGGGUCGGAUAUCUUCCUCCUCUACUGUUGUUCUACAAUAUAUAGGUAUCACUACCAAAAUCUGAGAGACUGACUUGGUUCCUUGUUCUAUCAUUUGACCCUUAGCUUUAAGCCAUCAUUCUAAGUCUAUGGACCCCUUUAAUAAACUCUAAAUUGAACUACAACCACUUUAAUCUAGAGUCCGAGAUAUAAUAAUACACAUAAGUAAUAUACUCAUCCUGAAAGACUACACCAGAAAGUGUAAAAACCGUUGCUAGUACUUCCUUCUAAGAUACAACUUUUAACGUUCUAUAGCCCUACUAGUCAUCUUAUUUACACCCUUCUGGAUAAUAUACUUUCCCCACUAAACAUAUAAUCUGUCUUUUUUUCUUCAUAUUCUACUAAUAUCAUAUCUCUAAACUUAUAUUUUUUUCCUAAACCAUGAGAAUUACCAUUACACCAGCAUACCCAACAUCAUCAACCUAUAACCCAUAACUUAGCUGAUAAGAACAUCAUAUACUAUAUAGCCUCAUACAUACUUAAUAACUCAAGGGUACUAUCUAAGCACACACAUCGUUAAAACUUAGAAAUAAUACAAUCCCAUAUCACCUUGGGUACACCUCUAGAUCAUACUUACAUCAUCAUACUUAAUUUUAAAUCAACAAACUUAAAUUCUUACAUACACUAUUUCGAGCCUACUGGUUCACUUUUCAGACAAUUAGCCCCAUGGAUACAAAAUCUACUAAAUCUAGAUAAACAUUAUCCUAUUUUACUGUUGUUAAACUUUUAGGUUCAUGUUUCUAACUCUAGAUCAUAUGCUAUCAUAGGAUUUUGAGAAGGGACACGAAAGCACAUCUAACUUUGGCUUAAUGCACAAUUUUUCAUAAUCAUGAAUGAAAUAUUUCAUACUUUAAGACAUAAUGGCAUUGAUGGAAUACUUUCGAGCCUGUGUGUAAUCCCAUAACUGUUUAUAGGGACUGCCUGAGAAAACUCUAUCUAUAAGGAUUUAAGCUUGGCUAUUUCUGUUGGCUUGAAAAUAAGGCAGAGUUGGAAUGAAUGAAGAAAGGUGAGAAUCUAUAUAAGUUUUCUUAGAGAAUAUUUCUACAGCACGAUCUGAGAUAUGAAAGAAGGGAAACAUUUCUUAAAUACUCUAUACCCUCUCGAAGAAAAAUACAGAUGUCUCCAUACUAUUUUGUAAGACUCUACUAGACACGGCUUCAUAGACAUCCUAGGACACUUAAACCUUGUGCUCUGAUACCAAGUUUUUCACGACCCAAGACCACCUCUAGUCGUAACACGGUGCUUGGAACCACAAGUGAUCCCAAGCUAAUCCUUGAUCUGACAUACUACUUGAGCAACUAAUUUAAAUUGUAUAAAAACUAAAUUUACUGAGCGAAAAUAUAUUCAUAAGAAAGUCUGUGCAAUACUGAUAAACUUUACGACAUGAUAAAACUGAAGAAAGAAACUUGAAUUACAUGUAAUGACUCUGACUUACUAUCUAUGAAACCUCUACUAUACUAACUAUAAAUAGAUGUGACAUGCCUCCAACUACCACUAAUCAAUACGUAUGAAUAAUAACAAUAUAGUACAUGAACUACAACUGACUUGAGUCCCCAAAAUAAGAGAACUCUUCACCUGCUGGCUAGAAGCGGCAAACUGUUUGAUUAUGAUGUGUGGGCUACAACUGGUACCUACAUUAUGAGACAAUGUAUCACAUACACAUAUAUUUGGAUCAGUACUUUAGAAUAUAUUGAGUAUAUGGAGACAUGCACUAAAUCAUGAAAAUAUUUAAAGCAUGCUUUAAAACUAAGGAUAUAAGUUAUUUGCUGAAACAUACAUUUAAAACAUGGUUGUACGUGAAAAUGGUGAGUCAUAGUAAGAUUUAUAAAUCAUAAACAGAAAAUAAUUCUAUAAGUUGGGAAGCGGUAGAAAUAUAAAUACUGCAUGUAAGUCUUAUGUAAAGCUGAAUACACUGUAAAACUGAACUAAGGAUCAUGUAUGGAUACUGAGAAUGAAAAUAUGAACAUGUAAAACUGAAAAUGCAAAAACAAGUAUAGCAUGUGCUAACAUGAUCUGAAUAACAUAAAUAAUCUGUAAUGCUGGCUGAAUAAUUACUGAAAUCUGAUUACUUGGUCAAGCAAAAUUAAAUUAAGAUAAAAUAAAUGCUGACUGAAAAACUCUGGGAGCUAUCAUGUAACCGACAUCCCCUAAUCUGAGCAAAUAAAGGUUCAACCUGUAACCCUAGUUGAAAGGGUGUCAGUACCUUACCAUUGGUACUAACCCAUGGAUGUGGGGAUUCACUAAACUGAUGUCCUAAAGGAUUAGGGAGUUACCCUCUACUGGAAGAUGCCCCUAAAAGAGUGUCCACCCUUCACUGAUAGGAAGACUUCUCAUACCUAUGCUGGCUACGUAGUUCUGAAACUCAGAGACUGCUACUAAAGGUCACACCCUCUACUGGCAGGUGAGCCCCUAUCCCUGGGUUCACUUGGUGCUAAAUCCUACUCCCAACUGAAUGACACUUGUAUUAGUAUGGGUCUAACAUGAUGCGGUAAUGUACUGAUAAGUGCUUAACAUGAACAUGGUAGUCUGAAUAAAGUAAUAAAACAUGGUUGUCUGAUUUGUCACUUGAAAAUGAAAACAUAUAAAAACACAUUGGUAUCAGGUGUUUAUAACCCAUCACUACUAAAUAAUUACUAAAAUACAAUAACAACACUUGGAACACUGGUAGAAAGUAGUAAUUUAGAGACCCAAAACAUAUUUCAUUACAAUACAUAAAGGAGACACAUGAAUCUGAACAUAGGAAUGACAUAAACUUGGAAGGAUAACAAUUUUACAUGGUUCAAUUCAUAACUUAAUGAUUUAACAUGAAAUCAAUAGAGUAUGACAUGGGAAAUUUAAAUUAAAAGCAUGAAAUAACUUAAUUCACAUUGAGACACAUAGUGACAUAGCUCGAAUUCAAAUUACUAAGAAAAUACAUGGAUUAAAUUCAUUAUUAACAUGGAUAAUUUCAUAAAAGAAUGAGAAUUUCAUACUUUAAUAAAAAGGGGAUUUUUGGGACUCAAUGGGUGAAAGGAACUCAUUGAUGAAUACCUCACAUACCUUAAAGUUCUUGGCUUGGUGAAGUAAACUUGACCUUUUAGACUUGGGAGAUGAUCUUAAGAAAAAACCCUAAUCUUGUUCUUGAGAAUGAAAAUAGGGAUUUUGUAUUGUUUAAUUGAUGGAAAAGAGAGGAAUAAUAUCACCCCUUGGGGUUAAAUGUCUUGGGUUGGGAGUUAUAAAGAGAGGAAAGACCAAAAUAACCCUUAGAAACCUUCUGGGAGUCAUUUGGAAACCCCGACGUGUUUGGGUAUGGGUCAUACCUUGAGUCAUCACCAGGAGCCUGUUGUGGGUACGACUCCUCAUGAUGACUCAUAUGGUCUGCUUGUGAGUCAUCAUCAAUAAGUCAUAUCCAUUGGCAGCAUUGACAAUGCUUUAGUAAUUUGGCCAUAACUUUUCACCCCGAUAUCGUAUUAAGGAAAAAUCAAUAUCGUUGGAAAGAUAAUUUAAUUAUAUAUUUGUUGGUGGGUCUUGAGAUUAGAAAUUCUAAUUAGAGUAGAAGUUAUGCUCAUUUGAAGAUGAUUAUAGUUAUAUACAUCCCAAGAACUUAAUCGCUAAGAAAUGUUUUGACUUGUCUAUAAGCUAGAAGCUAUUUAGGACUUAAUAUAUGCUCAAGUAAAUUAUAAAUCUAUCAAAAAAUGAGGCUUGAUUCUUGGACCGUUUACUAGUCAAGAUAUGGGUCAUAUCUUAUGACUCAUAACAAACAUUACGACUUAUAGCCACCAUUUGUAAUUUGGACAGAAACUUAGGGAACCUACACUGCUGACAAUACAACUUAUCUUCAUACGACUCGUACCUUACUUGAAGACUUCUAGGGUCAACUCAUAAUUUGAAUAGAACUCAAAUUAUCCCACACUAACAUGGGUAUGACUUGCUACAUAUGAUUCAUAUCUAACGUGUAUAACUCAAUGGACUAAGUAGUAUGAUGUACAUAAGCUUUCAAACAUGGGGUAUUACAGUUUACCUUAGCCUUUCGUAUCUUGGGAUUUGGAUGUUAUCGGACCAAUAGAGCCACCAGAGUCAAAUAAGCAUUGAUUUAUUUUUGUUGUAAUUGAUUACUUCACCAAGUGGGUGAAAGAUGCCUCUUAUAGAGUGUGACCAAGAAGGUAGUUGUAGAUUUUGUCAAGAAUAACCUAAUUUGUCAAUUUAGAGUAUCACAAUUAAUCAUUACUGAUUAUUCAAUUAUAUAUCUGUUGGUGGGUCUUGAGAUCAAAACUUCUUAGUAGAAUAAAAGUUAUGCUCAUUUGAAGAUGACGAUAGUUAUGUACAUCCCAAGAAUUUAAUCGCUAAGGAAUGUUUUGACUUGUCUAUAAGCUAGAAGCUAUUUGAGGACUUAAUAUAUGCUCAAGUAAAUUAUAAAGCUAUCAAAAAAUGAGGCUUGAUUCUUGGACCAUUUACUAGUCAGGAUACGGGUCAUAUCUUACGACUCGUAAUAAGUCAUUACGACUUGUAGCCACUACUUGUAACUUGGACAGAAACUUAGGGGAUCUACACUACUGACAAUACGACUUAUCUUUAUAGGACUCAUACCUUACUUAAAGACUUCUAGUGUCAACUCAUAACUUGAAUAGAACUCAAAUUAUCCCACACUGGCACUGGUACGAGUUGUUACAUAUGACUCAUAUCUAAUGUGUACGACUCAAUGAACUAAGUCGUAUGAUGUAUAGAAGCUUUCAAACAUGGGGUAUUAAGUUCACCUUGGCCUUUCGUAUCUUGGGAUAUGGAUGAUAUCGAACCAAUAGAGCUACCAGCAUCAAAUGGGCAUUGAUUCAUUUUUGUUGCAAUUGAUUAAUUCACCAAGUGGGUGAAAGAUGCCUCUUAUAAAGCCGUGACCAAGAAGGUACUUGCAGAUUUUGUCAAGAAUAACCUGAUUUGUCGAUUUGGAGAGUUACAACCAAUCGAUUUGGUAGUUUUGACUCCUUAGUUACUUAUUUAUGGGAAUGAAGUUGUUAUACCUGCCGAGGUUAAAAUAGUUUCCUUAAGUAUUAUUCAAGAAGACGGAUUAAGCAACGAAGAAUGGGUUUGUGCUCGCUAUGAACAACUCAUGCACAAACUCUCUGAAUCCUUCCAGUUGGUAGUUUAUAUAUAUAAAAGUAGGUGUAAAAUAGUAAUAUAAGAAAAAAUCGAAAUCAACUAAUAACUCGAUAAUUUUUCUUAUAAAAUCAUUAAAAAUCGUUAACCCAAUAAACUAAUAACAUUUUUAUCAGUUCAAUUUAUUGGUUGGUUCUAUUUUUGGACAUCCCUAGAGAAAAUACAUUGUUGGGUAGUCUAUGCACUUGGUGUAUUUUAGCAAGAUCCAAUUUUUAUUUGCUACGUGUUCUUGAGUACUUCUUGAGCUUGUGUAGCAAACUCGUCGAAACACCAAAGCAACUUGGUCUGCUAAUUAAGCCCCCUAGGCCCUAGUGAUUACCCCCCUAAAACUGAAUCUUAUGGAGUUGUUUGAUAAGUUUUUUACAUAAUUAAUAUUUUGUAAUAUAUUUUACUAUCAUGUAUAGUAUAAAUUUUAAUAUAUUACCACUUAUAACUUAUCUUUGGCUUUAAUAAUAGGAUUAUGCUUCACUUCUUUUUCACUCCAUCUCCUCAACCUUAUCUCUCCCUCUCUUCUAUCAUUUUAUCUUCUCCGGCGAACUAACGACGUCAGAGUGGUCUCUUUAUUUUUUAUUGCUUCGUCGAACACUAAUAGCUAGUCAUUUUCCCCUUUUUGUACAAUCAUCGUCAAAGCUCUGACUCUGACAGCCACCACAUACAUAUCGAAACCAUAAUGGAGCAAGCCAAAAUUGAUGAAUUUUGACAAAGUUGUUUGGUGAUGAAGGAGAAACGGAGUGGGUAGUGAAAUUAUUAGUUUCUCAGGUAAUGUGAGUUCGACGGAGAAGACAAGAGUUGUUAGGUGACUGAUUCGCUGGAUGGAGUUAAUUCUGAAGGUGAAUUUUGUUCAAACAAAUGAUGGUCGGGUGGUGUAAUAGAGUAGAUCUAUCUGGAGUUUGGUGGUGGUGAUGGAGCUCUGGCCAGAGUUUGAGGGUGGUAAUAGGAUUCUUGCAUAAAAAAUGGAAAAAUGGAGGUGAUGAUUUGCUAAUGAUGGUGGUGGAGCUCUGGCCUGAUUUUGUUGGUGGUGACGAAGCUUUGACUGGAGUUUAGUGGUGUUGAUGGGGUUCUUACUAAAAAAAUAAAAAAAUGGAGGCGAUGGAUCGUUGAUGGCGGUGGUACGGUGGAGCUUUGGCUGAAGUUUAGUGACUUGAAAAUGUUUAAGUCUAGUUACUUGAAAGGUGAACUUGUGUUUUGAAUUUAGUUAAGUGUGGUCACUUGAGAAGUGCAUUAGCAAUUUCAAAAUGUUUAAGUGUAGGUACGUGAAAUGUGAACUUGUAUUUUGAAUUUAGUUAAGUGUGGUCACUUGAGAAGUGAAUUAGUGACUUGAAAAUAUUUAAGUGUAGUAGCCUGAAAGGUGAACUUGUGUUUUGAAUUUAGUUAAGUGUGGUCACUUGAGAAGUGAAUUAGUGACUUGAAAAUAGUUUAGUGUAGUUACUUGAAAGUAGAACUACUGUUUUGAAUAUAGUUAAGAGUGGUCACUUGAAAAUGUGAAUUAGUGAUUUAAAAAUAGUUUAGUAUAGUCGUUUGAAAUGUGAACUUGUGUUUUGAAUAUAGUUAAGUGUGGUCACUUGAGAAGUGAAUUAGACUUUAAAAUGUUUAAGUGUAUGGACUUGAAUUAUGAAUUAGUGAUUUGUGUUUUGAAAUUAGGUACUUGAAAUGUGAACUUGUGUUUUGAAUUUAGUUAAGUGUGGUCACUUGAAAAUAUGAAUUAAUGAUUUGAAAAUGGCUUAGUGUAGUCGCUUGAAAUGUGAAUUCAUGACUUGAAAAUAGUUAAGUGUUGUCACUUGAGAAGUGAAUUAGUGACUUCAAAAUUUUGAAGUGUAGGUACUUGAAAUGUGAACUUGUGUUUUGAAUUUAGUUAAGUGUGGUCACUUGAGAAGUGAAUUAGUGACUUCAAAAUUUUGAAGUGUAGGUACUUGAAAUGUGAACUUGUGUUGAAUUUAGUUAAGUGUGGUCCCUUGAGAAGUGAAUUGGUGACUUGAAAAUGUUUAAGUGUAGUUAAUAGAAAGACGAACUUGUAUUUUGGAUUUAGUUAAGUGUGGUUACUUGAAAAUGAGAAUUAGUUAUUUGAAAAUGGUUUAGUGUAGUCACUUGAAAUAUGCAUUUGUGACAUGAACUAAUUACUUGAAUGUGAUUGAUUGUGUAGAUGGAACCUGAUUAUUAGAAAUAAUAACCAGAAAAAUCGACCAAAAGUGGUCAGUUUUUCAAAAUAUUUCCAGAAAAAACGUCCAUUUGUGCUCGGUAAUCUGGAAAUUCAUAGAAAAGCGACCACAUGUGGUCUUUUUUUUUAAAUUAUCGACCACAUGUGGUCGCUUUCUAGAUUUUUUUUUAAAAAAGACCACAUUCUGGAUUUUUUUAAAUAACUAAUUGUUUAAAUGUUUUUAAAUAAAAAAGUGACCACAUGUGGUUGCUUUUGUUUAAAUUAAUAAAUUAAAUAUAUAAAAAAGUGGUCGGUUUUCUUUAAAAACUAGAUAAAUAUGCCCGUGUGUUACAUGGGCCCAACACGUAUAGUAGAAUAUAUAAAAUGAAAAUGUAACAGUAAGGGACUAUCCCAUUAGAUUUGAUCAGUUGAUGAAAAAGAUCUCAAAUGUAUGUUUUAUACAAUCGUUGGAAUAACAUACUACGGGAUGCUCACUUUCACAUAUGAUAGUGAUUGUAUUCUAUUAACAUUGAUACAGAUAAUAUUUAUAAAUUCUACAAUAGGCGAUGCAUUUUUGUUGUUGUGAUCAAUCUCUGGGGCAUUUACGAUCAAACACUUGUUAAAUUAUAGGUAAAGAUUAAAUUAGUUAAGAAGAUCAAAAUGUGAUAAUAAAACAAAUCUUUAUUCAACAAAGACAAACAUAAUAGUUAUUAGAAUAAAAGUUCGAAUAACCUACUAUUAUGGUAUCAGAAUGAAAAUCUAUUUGUAAAUUGAAAGAAUUACAUUGUAGGUAGCAUUAGUAACACUGUACGUAUCUAUUUGUUUUUAAAAUUUUGGAUAAACAUUUACAUACCUAUUGGCAAAGUAGUUGCAUUGUUGUGAAAUACUGAUACAAUUGACACCCAUAGAUACUAACGAACUCAACUCCCAUAUGAUGAAACCAAAUGUAAAAGCUAUAAGCAACAACCUGAGAUAAUCAUCACAGAAAUAAAUUAAGAAUCAAUAGACAUUUCAUAUGUUGUUCCACCACAAGCACCACAAAUAGAAUUAGAUAACACACUACAACAACAAUAACAACAAUGACAAGUCAAUAGUAACAACAAAUUUGCCAAAGUAACUCUUGUAGUAGUAUCACUUUCUAGGUUAAUUCUUUUUUGUUUUUUGUUAUAUAAUGUUUUGUUUUUGUUGUUACUUACAUGACAUGGAUAAUACAGUAUUAAAGUGACAUGUACAAGGUCUAUACACAUUUCACAUGGAAAAGUUUCAGCCAGUUUUGCUUAGACUUACAUUAUGUUUUUGCUUCUUGUAAAUAGACAAAUAGUAUACUUAACAUAGAAGUGAUUUUUUUUUAAUUUCCCUCACUUUUCACAAGUAUUAUUGACUCUUGCUAAUUUUUCCUCUAGCAUUCUACGUGGCAAUUUAUGUACUACACUCUGAACUCGUACUGGAAUAAAAUACCCGCCAACACAAUGACGUACAUCCUAUUUAAGUUUAUAUGUUGUGGUACCCUUGAAUUAUGACAUUGGUUCUAAGUUUGGACAUGUUGUAGGUUUGGACAUGUUGUAGAAUAAGAUUGAAAAUAAGACAGUAAAAACCAGAAAACAUACACUACAUUAGAUAAUAUAUCAAAUCAAAUUUGUAUCCUUUCCUUUCUUCUAUUUUCAAGUGAGGAAGUUUCCCAUGAAAGAUUAGAAGACCUAUAAAUAUACAUGGUUUACAAUGAUUAUUAUUUCACAAUCUGUAGCCUUAUCUGUAUCUUUUUCCUACAAUUAACGACAUACAUCCAUAAAACUUGUUUGGAAUUACCCAAAGUCAAGUUAUUAAGAUAUAUCUUCUAGUCUAUCCUUGUUUUUAUUUUCUCAUUUUUUUUAGAGAAAACACCCACAAAAUAAUCAUUCAUGCACAAUAGCAGGUUAGUACAAACAUCAGAACUUUUGAGUCAUAAAUAAACAAUAUAAGCUCACUAAUUAGAAUCAACAAAAAAAUCACAGCUCAAGUUCUGUAUUUCAUUAUUUGUAAUUAAUAAGCAGUGACAAUCCCAAACAGUUGUGAUAAUUAGACAUGACAUCUUCUUAAUCGAAUCGGAGCAGACACAAAGCCUAACAAGUAGGAGAUUAACCAAAGCUGAUGCCAUACCAUGCAGCAUAAUAGAUUAUUGAGUUAUUAGCCCAAUAAUUUCAGAACACCAUGAAUUGAAGGCAUUUGGAGUCAAAACACAUGCUUACCUCACGGAAUGUCAUUAGCCUGGGCUUAUCUCCAACUUAUGGUAUUUGAUUAUAAAUAAUGUGUGCAACAGGCAAUUUAGCAUUGGCACCAUCUCGUGAUAAUAUACAGCUUCGGUUAAUAACUCUACCCAUCCAUGCACUUCCAGAUUUCUCAUAUGUAUGGGAGUAUGGAUCAAAAUAAAAGUAGGCAAUUGGAGUUCGAGAGGAAUCAUUCAUGUAGUACAAACAUACAUCAUGGUUCCAAACGUAGAAAUCACGCACAUCAAUGAACAAUAUUAUUUGGCACUGCAUAUGGGAGCAUGAACAAAGGUAAAAGAAAAGGCAAGUGAACUAAGUCUUACCGGAGCUAAUCCAUCAGCAGGCUCAACAUUGAUACCAAACAACAUGUUUACAAGAUUAAAAAAAACAUCCAUAACUCUAGGCAACGAAAAGUAGGGUCAUACUUCUUCUGCAACUAAGCAACAUGCGAACUCAGAGCUGCACACAAGCGUCCAAAGGAAGUUAUAUAGUAUGUAACAUUUACUAAAUGCUAGAGGUAGUGAUCUAUUAACAAAGAAGGGGCUUAUUUUAAAACUUUACUUACUAACUGGUGAAAUGAAAAAGAGAAUGGGACUUGUGUUGAUAUUACUAAUGUAGGUACUAAAAAAAUUGUUGCUAAGAUAAACAAUGUUAUACGUAUGCAUUGAAAUACAACAUAUUGAAACUAAAUUAUAUAUUCUACUUAGCAAGAUAUUAAUGGUCUAAAACUAUCAGGAUAGGUAUAUUCCUUGCCAUUUUUUCAACUCAAAUUAUUAUAAAAUUUGGUUUAAGAAAGGAUGGUCGGGAAGCAUAAGGCUUUGAUUAUACUUGUCGACUGUGAAUAAAUAGACAUCACAAGAAAGAUAUAUGAAAACAUGUAUGGAUAAAAAUAAUCACAUCUCGACAUCCACACGCACAUCGUUUAUUAUUUUCAAUCAACACUAUCAAGUAUCUGAUAUUGGUUGACAAAGAGGGUUGUCUACUUUUAUGUCCUGGGAAAGUCCUUGCCUCUUAAGCUAGAUUUUGGUUUAAGUUAUACCCAAGGUUCAUUUUUGAUUGAACAAAAAAAGGAGGAAGAAAUACAGAGAGACGACCCAACUUCUUUAUGAAUGAUACCAUAUAUGUUUGCACAAGCUCAUUUACGAAAAGAAUUAGGAGAUAUCUUUCUUUACCAACUAAAUAUUGACACUGAGCAGCCUUUGAUGGAUACUGUACAAUACAUCCCCAAUAAAUAUUCUGAUACUCUUCUAAAAUACAGGUAUUGAAUUUAUUACACAAAUCUGAGCAUACUAUCUUAAAUAAUUCUAUAAAUUUUCACUAACCUCCAAGAUACUUGCUCUUCGCAAUAGAUAAUUUCUGAGCAUCAGCAGACCUGGAAGUUUAAAAUAAGAAAUUUACAACAAAAUUCUCAUUUGUCACCAACAAUUACCAAAAAUCUAGGACAAGAUAAAACAAAAAAAAUGGCAAUGUCUUACAGAAUAUCAACAUUGCCGGGAGGAGGGACAGCAUGGAAAACGUCCAAUUCAGUCAGUUCAUAAUCUGGAUUUUGAUCUUCUCUUCUUUCUUUAGCUCUGUCUCUGUACUUAGGCAGCUCCGCUUCUUCGGCCUUCUCUUCUCUAUAACAAACAAUUACGGAGCUAUUAAAUUUCAAUUCAGAUUCACUAAAAAUCGAAAGCAAGGACAGGAGAAAAAAACCUUACUUGUUGCGACGAACUAUCUUUUCCUUGUGAUUUCGUUUGGAGGAAGACAUAGAAUAAUUAUUCCUUAAAAAUAGGAUUGUUCCUUGAAGGAGAAGGAAAAAGAUAGAGAAGAGAGGUACAGUGCUGCGGUUCAUCUAGAAAUGUUUUUGCUGUGGUGAGGAUAGGAAAUAUCAUCCACAUAUAAUGACCAUUUUGGCCUCAAUAAUGUACUUAUGUACCAUUCUGCCUUUGGUCGUCCUUAGCACUGCCUCUUCUAUAUAGUAAAAAUUUAUUUUAUUAAAUUUAUAUAAGCGACCGCUAGUGGUUGCUUUUUUGAAUUAAAAAAUUGAUAAUAUUUUUUUUAAUAAUCAAUACUGAAUUAUAAAUAUAUAUAUAUAUAUAUAUAUUUUAAAAGAAAAGCAACUACUGUUUUUGAGAUCACACCUUGUAGUUACUUUUUUGGUCGCAAAAACAGAAAAAGCAACCACAUGUGGUCGCUUUUUGUGGUCACUUUUCCUAUUUUUUUCUAGUAGUGGGUGGAGCUUUGGCUGAAGUUUAGUGGUGCUGACCAAAAAAAGGUGGUGUACGGUGGUGGCUGCACUGUGAUUUGUAUUAAAAUUAUAUUAAAUAAAAGUGAUCUAUGUAAUACAAUUUGAAUUCAAUAUUAUAAUUUUUUAUUAAUUCGAAAGUUGUUAUUUAUAACAAAUAUAAUAUAUUUUAACGACGUAAAACUAAUUUAAAUUGUAAUGGAAUGUUUUAAAUUCACGUCAAAUAUUUGUAAUACACUUUAUUAAAAGAAUUUCAGUUAUAUAUAUUCACCACAUAUAUUGAAAUAAUAUGGAUAAUGAAUUCAAAAUGUAUUAAAUUUGUUGCUUAUUUUUGUCUCAUUAUCGAAAUUCAAAGCAUAUUAUAAUCAAAUUUGAAAUAUUUAAAUGCUAUUCAAGUUAGUUUAUGUAUUAUUGCAUUAAAAAUUUAAUUUAAAAAGUAUUAUAUAGCUAUUUUUAUUAAAAAAGUUGUGUUAUCCACUCUAAGAAUAAAAAUUUACUGUAAUUGAUAAAAAAAAAGGCUACAUAUUUAUAUUAUUUAUGUAAAAACCCCUUGUUUGAUACAUCGAAGGAGUAAGUAGAGAUAUUUUAUUGGACUAUUUUACCUCACGUUUUACAUAGCUAGCAUAGUAGCUUCAUCAUUUUAUUACAACUGAUGAAGUUAAAUAGUUCUGAAAUUCGUUAAUACCUCACACCAAGUAUCGGAUAAAGUUAAUUCUAAAUUUUAUUCUAAGAUUAUUUUUCUUGUCCAUAUACGAAAUGAUCCAUGCGCACCGAAAUCUAUGGUUAAGAACUAAAACAAAUCUUAGUAAUUGAAAUAUUUAACUGCAUCAAGUGUUUAGAAUGACUAAAUACGAUUUAAUUAUUAUAAUUGAGUUAAUAAAGUAAAAAUUAUAUAUUAAUCACUAUUUUAAAAGAUGUUUUUUUGGGCAAGUCAGUGUGGGGCGUAGAAAAAAUGUAUCAAGGUGAUACGUGGGACGAGACUGUAGGGGUGUUCAUGGUUCGAUUUUAGAUUGAUUUUUUAUUAGAACCAAAGUCAAAUAAAUUUACUCAUUUUUAAAGAGUUAUUUGUUGUUGGUUUGAUUCGAUUUUUCAGUUUAUAACUAGCGAAUGAUAAAUUGAUAAUAGUAAAAUAACUAACACACGGGACAACUAUUUCAAAUAAUUGUUAUGAAUCAAUAAGUUUCUUUCUAUUAUCACAAGAUGAAUGUUACUGAAUCAUCUAUUUUUUUUAGUAUUAUUUUAAAAUUUUAGCAUGUCUAUGUUGCAUAACAGUAAAGACAAUGUACAUAAAUAAUAUACAACUUUAAGAAGGCGUUUGGACAUACGAUUUCAUGCUUGUGAUAUGAAAUCAUGAGAUUAAAUUACCAUUUGGUGAUGCGAUUUCAUCUCAUGAUUUCAUAUCAUGACAUAAAAUCUCAAAUUCUUCAAAAAAUAUGAUUUGAGAUUUUCUAAACACAAAAAUUAACUCAAGUUCAUAUUUUGUAGAAAGAACCCCAUCAUUUAUAUUUGCCUACCAUUUAUAUCAUAUAUAUGCAAAUAAAAUUUAUAGGUCAUAUUUUACCAAUCUUUAAAAUAUUUUUAUCUCAUUUAACAAUUACUCUCACCAACAUAUACCCCAUUUAGUUUUGAGAAAUAUUCAACUUUUUUUUUUUUUUGAAAAAUCUUUUCAUUUUUUUUUAGAAAAUGAUGUUUGGCCAUAAAGGCUACAAAUACAACUUGAAGUUCUUUUUGAAAAAAUGAAAAUAAGUCUUAACAUGUCUUCACUUUUUUCUAAUUUCAACUUCACCUUUAUAGUUAAAAAAAAUCUCUCCAAAAAGAUAUAGCCAAACACAAUUCUGACUCCGACUUCAAUUUUAUUUUUUAUAAUUUACAUGUCCAAAAGCCUAUAAAAUGUAUUAUUACUUCAAAUCAACUCCUAUUUUAUCAUUUAUUAUUCACCAAGUUUAUCAUUUGAUCAAUAAAUCUUGAUUUUUUUUAGAAUGUUUGUUAUAAACAUUUGCUUAUUUGGUAAGAUUGUGUAAAGAAUUUAGGCAAUUUUGAUAGUUUUCACAACUUAUGAUUUUUUUUUUUAUUUAUAAGAAAAAAAUACAACUUAAAAUCCUAAAUUGCAUGUCAAAACAAAAUUUCAACUUCAUCUCAUAUGAUUUCAAAUCAUGAAUUUCAUCUCACGUGGUCAAACGGGCCCUAAAUAUGAUGGUCAACCCUGCAGAAGCAUCAAAGGGGCUCAAGCCUUUGAAGAGUAUAUGAAAGUCUUGACAAAGAAAAAUAAAAAUUGGUCAUACACCUCAUCAAUUUACACAAUUAAACUUAAGAGUAUUUAUUUGGGUAUAUUUUGAAAAAUACGAUUAAAUCUUAUGCCUUGUCAGGAAAAUAGGAAGAACGUGAAUGAGGAUCCAUAAUAAUUCUAUUUCAGAAAACAUGAAAAAAAUUGUCUAACUUGCAGAAUGAUCCAUAACCUAUGACGACAAGUAUAGUUUUGGGAUCUGUGUUGUUUGAACCUAUACCUUUCUCGAUGUUAAAUAGUCCCCUCAAAACAUAUAUAUGCUCAUAUUGUACUCUGCAAAUAAGCUGAAAAUCAUGUCAUUGAGCUAUUGGCUCAAAUUUAUAUUACUCUAUGCUAGAGAGUUCUUACGCUCAAAUUCAUAUAAGGCAUAUACAUGAGUCCUUUCGCUCUAUUUCAAUGAAAAUACCGAGUUUAGGUAUUUUCUUUUAACUAAAGACAUAUUACUUUCACAUGCCGAAAUUCAUUAAGUGAACUUGUAAUUCUUCACAUAAUUUCAUAAAAUAUGAGAUUUCGUAAACAUGAGGGUUCAUACACAUUAGGAAAAUUUCAAAAUCAUGAGAUAACUUUUGCAAAACCUAAGAUGGCUUUCAGGCUUUUGAAACAGAUUCUAUAAAAAACAAGAUAUACAAUCAAAGGACGAAUCCGAAUUAUGAUAUUUCUAAGAUUUCAUGAAGGAUUCAAAGAGUAUCAUCAAUAGAUAAAGAAACUAGAUUCUAGGAUUCAAUUUAAAAAUCUUAACUUUAAUUUCUUUACUAAACCAAAAUUGAGACAGACUUAUGGAGAAUAACAGAAUUUCCAAACUAAAGGUUAGUCUUAUAUACCUUGAAAAAGAACUUGAGGAUUCUCUUGCUAGAACCUUUGAAACCUUUAAGUGAGUCUGGAAAGAGAAGAGAGGAGUAAUAUAGUCAUUUGAUAUAUUCUAAUUGUUUUCUACAAAUAAGGAAGGUUAAAAGUUGUAUGUUGGGAUUUUAAAUUAUAAGUAGGACAAAAAUGUCCUUAUUAUAUGAAAUGGGAAAAUACCAAUUUGAAAAUAUCGGUGUGCACCACACAAUCCAAAGCAUUGUCUGGGUUGUACACCACGACGUCCUAGCGUGCUAGGGGAGUUUGAUAUGGCCCUCAACGCGAAGGAUGAGUUAAUUUCAGGUCCUUUGGAGUUUAAAAAGAGGUUGAGCCUUUAGUGCGGGGACUUCCUGAUGCGAUGCUCUAACUAUUUCACGUACUUAGGACUUUCGUUUAAAUCUCUGAACUCAUUCUAAAUGAUUUCUAACUGAUUUAAAGGUCGUACAUCUUGAUUUUCAAACUAAAAAAUAACAUAAGAAACUACACAAACAUGAUAAGAAUUUGUAGGGUAUUACGCUCCAUUUGAUGGGGAUGUUGUCGAAACUUCUAACGGAUUCUCUGUUGGAGAGCUAAUGUUAGAGGAAUAAUGAUAAAGAGAAACAAAAUAAUUAAAAAUAAAUAUUUGUCUAAGUCCGUUUGGGUGUUUUAAAGGAAUAUAUCAAGUAUGUGAACGAUCGAGUUUAUUCUUUGGAUCUUCUCAGAUGGGCCAAUAUAUUUACAUCGGGUCUUUUGAGACAAUGAAUCACAAACAUUUGCAUUUGUUGGCUUGAACAAACACUACUAAAUUGAAGAUAAAAUUUUCUAGAAGAUAUACAACUGUAGAUUCAUUGUAGCUGUAAUUUUAAGUUUGUUGAAAUUUUUUGACAUUUUACGUAUCAACAAUUGUAAAUGUAUGGGCAUUACAUUCUAUAGAUGUAUAUAUUAGGGGCGUCAUAUUUUAUAGAUGUAUGUAUACGAGCGUCACAUUCUAUAAAAUGAGGAUUGAAGGAGAAUGAAAUUCAUAUACUUUUCUUUCUAGAGUAUUUUCUUGCUAUUUUUUCAGAUAGCUUAUCUCCGGAAAGGAGUCCGAUUGGCUGCCUAAUUAUAGAACAACUUUACUCAGAUCAAUAGUAAAUUGCCCCUACUCAUACAGAGGAUCGCCCUUCUCAAUUUCCCCUAAUCGCCACAGACAUUUCUCCAAUUUUAACCCAUCCUUUUACAAGAUGCGAUUUUUUCACAUAUGGUAAUGUUACAUAAUCUUUUGACUAGUUAAACAACACUAUUAGCCAUUUUAUGUAUUAACAGCUAUAUAUAUAGAAGUGUUACAUUCUAUAAAAUGAAGAUCAAAGAAUAAUGAAAUUCAUAUACAUUCCUUUCUAGAGUACUUUCUUUUUAUUUAUUUCUUUCAGACUUUAGUCAAAUCAACAAUAAAUCACCUCAACUCACACCGAAUACCAUCCUUUCCAAUUUUCCUCAAUGAAGCAUCUCUCCAAUUUUGACUCAUCCUAUUUACUACAAACAUGAUUUUUUUCACUUAACGUAACGUUACAUAAAUAUUUCGAAUAUCCAAACAAUACUAUUAGACAUCUUUUUAUAAUUCAUGAAAAUGAAAAGUAUGAAGAAAAAAAUAAGUAUAAAUAACAUAAAUACCAACCAUUUUGGAAGUAAUUAUACUUUUUCUAUUUUUUAAAAUUACUUUAUUCUCUCUCUCUAUUAUUAAUAUACAUAACAUAGCCGACAUAUACAUAAUAUUCUGUAUAUAUAUUGAAAUUUUUGUAAUACUUUUAGGAAAUUGAAAUUUUUUGUAAUAUUGAAAAUAUAAUUUGUCUAUUUGUGUAAUUUAAAAAAAAAAUAAAUUGUUGGAGUUGGGCCAGAGCUCUUAGCCGCCAGGCGUAAUAGUCCUAUGGUCCUGUCUAUAUUCGUCUUCGUGGGUUCAAUUUUUUCCUCUUACUUCCCAAGUUUCUGGGCAAAACCCCUCCCCCCCACUCCACAAACCAAAAAUUAGUAAAAGCAACAAAAUCAAAUCCCAACUCUUCAUUUUCCUUCUCUUUCUCUCUUUACACUUUCUCUCUCUUCCUUCAUCAAUGGUGUACCUGAAAAACUCCACUGUUCUUCAGCCGCCACUUCUAUUUCUUCCAACAAACGUAGCUUAAAGCCUUAUACCAAUUUUUGUAAGUAUUUUUUUUUUCCGCGAAAGCGUUUCUACUAUUUAUCUGCGUCGAGUUUUUGAACUUCCGUUAUUUCUGCUGCGUAUAAUAUACGUAACUUAUACUGUUUUAUUUAUUUAUUUGUAUUUUUGUUUUUCAAUAUUUUUGUUGUGGUAUUCUGUAUAUUAUGAGUUUGUUAAAUUAAUUCGAAUUUUCUGCGAUUUAGUUUUGAUUUUUGUUUGUGAGUUUAAGUGGUGGAAAUGAGAAUUGGAUACUGUAAAUUAGGUACUUUGUUUAAUUUGAAUGAUCAUUAUAGGUUAAAGUUGGAGUUAAGUGUAGGUCAAAGCGAAAAAAUGAAUUCGAGUUUAAGUUUUCGCUUUAAUUUGAGUUUUAGAUACUUGUCUCCAUUUUUUCUGGUGUUUUUUUUGUCCCUUUUUAUUGAUUUUCUGUGUGUGUUUGUUUUGGUUUUGUAGGAGAAAGGAGCUGUAAGCUCAUAGCUAAGUAAGGAAAUAGUGAAUGGAUUAGUGUUUUUUGUGUUGCGAGAAUUGGAUUUUUCUGUCUUGGUUUUGAGUGGAGACUGUUGAUGCUGUUUUGGGAUUAAAGCGAGUGAGGAUUGAUUGAUUGGUGUUGGAGUACUAUUGUUGCGAAUGGCAGAAGACGGCCUACGUAUUGGUGGCCUUUCUUCUGGGUUGGCCGUGGUAUUGGAUGGUGAUGAUAGGAGGGAGAGUUAUCAGAGAACUCGUCUUGUUUCAUAUUGUGAUGAUUUUGGAGAUCAAUCUGUGGAAAGGACACUCGAGCACAUCUUUGAUCUUCCAUACAAGUCUAUUAAGCCGCUCUCUUGUUCAAUAGAUGCUAAAGUGGUUCGCUCGGUCAUAAACAAUGAAUUUCUGAAGUACCAUAUAAAUCGGAAGGCUGGUACAGACAGAAAAAGAGAAGGGGUUUUUAUUGCUGGUGAUUGUUGUAAACAUCAGGCUAUUAGAAUAGAGGAAUCGAGCAUUUGUGGUGACAUUAGGAUAGUCAAACCACCUUUUAUCGUGGAGAGUCAUUCUCUAUUCAGCAGUGCAAGGGCCAAUGCUUGUGUGUGGAAAGGGAAAUGGAUGUAUGAAGUAACUCUUGAAACUUCUGGUAUACAACAGCUAGGUUGGGCACCUCUUUCCUGUCCAUUUACGGAUCAUAAGGGUGUGGGUGAUGCUGAUGAUUCAUAUGCAUAUGAUGGAAAGAGGGUCAGUAAAUGGAAUAAGGAAGCUCAGGAUUAUGGUCAGCCAUGGGUUGUUGGUGAUGUGAUUGGAUGCUGUAUUGAUUUGGAUGGUGAUGAGAUAUUAUUUUAUCGAAAUGGAGUUUCGCUUGGUCUAGCAUUUAUAGGUAUUCGUAAGAUGGUUCCUGGAUUGGGGUAUUAUCCAGCAAUUUCUCUCUCUCAAGGUGAAUGUUGUGAGUUAAACUUUGGGGAAAUCCCUUUCAGGUACCCAGUAAAAGGUUUCCUUCCUAUUCAGCCUCCACCACCCAGAAGUUCAAUUGCUACUGAUUUGCUUAAUUGUUUUAGAAGGCUAAUUGAAAUGCAGCGUGUGGGAAGGGCAGAGUUCAGUUCUGUUGAGAAAUUGCGAAGAUUGAAAAGGUUUGUGUCAUUUGAAAAGCUUUCACACCCCGUCUCUCGUGGGAUAUGUGAGGAGUUGUUCUCUACACUUGUUGCUGAAGACGGAAGCACAAAGUACAUAGGUUGUGGUCCACUUCUAUCACUGAUAAUGGAGGUCUUUAGAAUCCAUCCUCCUCAUGAUUAUAUGAGUUUGGACAACAUACUCGAUUCUUUCCUAGAAUUCCCAGAGUCGAGAAUUUUGUUUGAACAUAUCAUAAGUUCACUCUCGACCUUUUGUAAAACAGCACCAUUGAGCCUUUCAGAUGUUCCUUACACAGGUUCAUAUGCAUAUCUGGCCUUGGCAUGCCACAUCUUAAGGCGGGAAGAAGUGAUGACACUGUGGUGGAAAUCUUCAGAUUUUGACCUUUUGUUUGAAGGGUUUUUGUCACGGAAGAGUCCUAACAAGCAGGAUCUUCAAGGUCUGUUGCCUUCUGUUUGGUGGCCUGGUUCGUGUGAGGAUACGUCAAAUGAGGCUAGCCUGUUCCUGACUACAGCUGCUUUGUCAGAAGCAAUAGACAAGGUAUUCUUUUUGUUGAUGGAAUGGAACUUAUAUUGGUAUCUUAUGUGCUUCUUUGUCCCCUCAUACAAUGUUGGUCCAUGUUCGUGAUUGUUCUUGGUCUGAUAUUGCUAUUUUAUACUUGAAUAAGAUGGUGCAUUUGAUGAUGUUCCUUGAAAGUCCUGGUACUAGUUAGACGGACUCAGUUGUUCUAUGUGCUUAAAGUAUACCUGACUGGGUAUUUUGGUUGAAAUGGAAGCUCAAGUCUUUUAAUAAGGUAGUCAGUCAUGUAAUGAGCAGUGGAUGCUUGGUUUCUUUUUCCUAUUUCAACAAUAUCUUUGAACUGCUUGCAAAGGAGACAUAGCAUCAUAGGUUUUUUAUAUAGUAAUAUUGGAUAUUUUCUCACUUGAUCAAGUUUAAUAGGAAAGUUCAUCCAUCUUAGCAAUGUGAAAAUUAAUGCAAUUCCCGCAGCCUGAUUUGCCUAGAGCUUUGACUUGAGUUUCUCUUACAUGAGCCAUUUUUACGCUGAGCUGCACCUGUCAAAAUAAAGAGAGAGUUUUGGCUGUAUUGCACAGGAAAUUGUAAUAUUGAAUCUUCAUCAAUAAUGCCGACUUUGGACAUCACAUGAAAAAUAUUAUAAUGCACAUAUAAACGGACAACAAAUCUAACCCUUUGAAGUUCUGGCAAUUCUUAUGUUGCUUGGUCUUAAGAUGCAUGAUAUGCUGUUUAUGCCCUUUGUGCAGCCACAUGUGCUUGUUUGAGAUGUUAAAGUAUAGUACUGUUCAUCGCUAUGAAUUGUAUCAUCAAGAUGACGUGUAUCUCUUUCACUUUCUUUGGUUGCUGGUGAGAAGGGGAGGUGGUUCAUUGCAAUAGCAAAAGGUGGCGUUUUAGAUUAGAAACAUCAGCUCAGUUCUUUUAGAAGUUUUUCGUGUUAGUUGUUUUAGUUUUACUGUGUAUCUUUCCAAUAGGAAUGUGCAAGUAUACAAUAUUGCAUCACCUAGUCGCAUGAUUUGGGUGGCUGAAGUCUUGCCUUAUUCAAAAUUCUAUAGUUGCUUGGCUGCUCUUGUCAAAUCUAAUAGUUGGACGGUGGUAUUGUGGAUUUUACUGCAUCAUAUCGAUCUUCUCUUCGCCCAGCUUUUCAGUUUAACUGGCCUUUGCUAUUGCCUUGAUCUCCAGUAAUGUGUGCAUCUAUCAGCUUUUUCUGUUGAUGUUUCACUUAAGAAUCAUUACAUUUGAUUUUUGUGAUCUAUCACACAUACGCAUCCCUUCUACUAGAAAGUCUAAAAGGGCUUGCUAUUUCAUUAUAUGUUUCUCCAUCCACAAGAAGAUUUACAUAUUUCUUCUUCAGGUUGAAGAGAAGCAGAGAGACCUUUGCCGUUUGGUAAUGCAGUUCGUGCCACCCACGUCACCACCGCAGCUACCUGGCUCUGUAUUCAGGACAUUCUUACAAAAUAUUCUACUUAAAAACAGGGGUGCAGAUCGAAAUUUGCCACCACCUGGUGUUUCUAGCAAUUCUGUACUUGUUUCUUUGUUUGGUAUCAUACUCCAUUUCCUGUCUGAGGGGUUUGGGGACAUUUGUGGUUGGAUGAAGGAUUCUGGAGUAUCUGAUGUUGGUUUUCUACAUAGAGGAGGCCAGCAAGCUUUUCCUGUAGGCUUGUUUCUCAAGAAUGAUCCUCAUCGAGUUGUUAUUCCAAGGCUUGGUGGUUCAUAUAAUCACCUAGCAAAGUCCCAUCCUAUUAGCAAUGAGCAGCAUGAUGAAGUGAUUCGGUGGGAAGAAGGAUGUAUGGACGAUGAAGAAGAUAGAGUUACACAUCUAAGUAAGCAGAAGCCGUGCUGUUGUUCUACUUAUGACGAUGAUUUUACAAGAAUAUCUAAAGAUUCUAUCAGACGCAUGGCAAAAGGUUCAAGGGGACAUUUCAGCUCUAUUCGUGAGAGGUCUGCUCAUGUUGCUGCAGAAUGCAGCACCAGUAGUUUGAAUGAUGACAUAGCAGAUAAACCGAGCACAAGUGACCAGUCCGAAUCAGAGUUUGGCUUCCGUUCUAUGCAUCAAAUGAGAUAUGUUCCCAGAGAGCACAAUGUUUCUUCAGCAACUCUAAAAGAAGAGGAGCUACUGGAUGCCAUGCUUUUGCUGUAUCAUUUAGGUCUUGCACCCAAUUUUAAGCAGGUGACUAGCUUUUCCCUUACUAAAGAUAGUUAUUAAACUUCCUUUUUGUUUGAAAAAUAUCCGAAGUGGUAUAAAUGAGGUAACAUGACCUUAGAUGAAGGGAUUUACAGAGGACAUGGCCUUAGGAAGAUAUGAAGGUUGCAGAUUAGGGUAGAGGGUUAGUAGGUAGUGGAGCAGUGUCUCGCUUUCCUUUUCCUGCAGUAUAGUCUUCGUGGUAGUUUGACCAACUAUACCUGUUCGUUUUAUAGCGAUAGUAUCAACAACUUCCCUAUAGUUUCUUGUCCCUCAUUUUAUGUUACUACCUGUUGUUUCUCAUUGAUUCGGUUUUCACAUUUUUUUUCUACUGCUGCUGUUCCUUUUCCCUGAACGUCAUGUAAUGUUUUCUCUAUUAUUUGCUAUGUCUUUGUUACUUAUGUAUGUUCCUUUUCAUACUGCCCUGUUAUGCGAUACUUGAACCGAGGGUCUGUCGGAAACAACCUCUCUACCACCACGAGGUAGGUGUAAGGUCUGUGACACUCUACUCUCCCUUGACCCCACGUCCCCACCUCCGGGAUUUCACUGGGUAUGUUGUUGUGGAGCUAAAGUUUUGAAAGCAACCCCUUGCUCGACCUUUGGCCUUGCAAAAUUAUGUUCUGUCUAUAUUUGUAAUGAUGACAUAUUUUUAAUUUUCCUGCUAGUUUGAAAUUAAUACGACAACAACAACAAACCCAGUGUAUUCCCACAUAGUGGGGUCUGGGGAGGGUAAGAUGUACGCAGUCCAUACCACUACCUCCGUUGAAGUAGAAAGGCUGUUUCCGAUAGACCCCCGGCUCAAGACAAGAAAUAAUAAUCAGAUCCGUAAUAAAGCAUGGAAUAGGCUGACAUGACAUAGAUACGACGUCCACAAGGAAUAGUACACAAAGACUAGCAAACAAGUUCGUAAUAAAGCAUGAAACAAGGUAACAUAACAAGAAAAGUACACCCACCAAGUAAUAAUAUCCUACCCUGACGACCCAAACUGGCACUAGCUUUAUAUCCUAAUUCUCGUCCUCCAGAUCUUCCUAACUAGGGUCAUGUCCUCCGUAAAUAGUAACUGCUCCAUGUCCCGCCUAAUCACCUCUCUCCAGUAUUUCUUUGGCUUACCCCUACCCUGCUAAAACCAUCCAAAGCCAGCCUCUCACACCUACGAACCGGGGCAUCCGUGCCCCUCCUCAUCACGGGUUCGAACCAUCUCAGUCGGACUUCCCGCAUCUUGUCCUCCAUCGAAGCCACUCCAACCUCUCGAAUAAACUUAUUCCGAACUCUUAUCACUCCUAGUAAGCCCACACAUCCAACGCAACAUCUGCAUUUCCGCCACCUUCAAUUUUUGAACGUGGGUGUUCUUGACUGGCCAACACUCCUCUCCAUACAACAUGGCCGGACAGACUGCCACCCUGUAGCAUUUGCCUUUAAGUUUAAGUGGCACCUUCUUAUCACAAAACACCCCCGAGGCGAGCUUCCACUUUAUCCAUCCCGCCUCAAUACGGUGGGAGACAUCCUCGUCAAUCUCACCAUUCACCUGAAUCAUGGACUCGAGAUACUUGAAAUUAUCCCUCUUACACACCACCUGGAGUCCAACCUUACUACCACCUCGUUCUCCUGGCUCGAGUCAUUAAACUUGCACUCCAAAUAUUUUGUCUUACUCCUACUCAACCUGAAUCCUUUAGACUCAAGGGUCUGUCUCCACACCUCUAAUUUAUCAUUCACACCCCCUCGCGUCUCAUCAAUCAAAACUACAUCAUCUGCGAAAAGCAUACACCAAGGCACCUCCUUGAAUACGCCGCGUCAACACAUCCAUCAUCAAAGCAAACAAAAACGGACUAAGAGUAGAUCCCUGAUGCAACCCGUUUAUCGACGGGGAAAUGCUCUGAAUCUCCUCCCGCCGUCCUCAUCUGGGUCUUAGCUCCAUCAUACAUGUCCUUGAUUGCUCUGGUAUACGCCACCGGGAUCCCACUCACCUCCAAGCAUCUCCAAAGAACCUCCCUAGGGACUUUGUCGUACACCUUCUCCAAGUCGAUAAACACCAUGUGCAGAUCCUUCUUUUUUUCCUUGUACUGUUCCACCAGUCUCCGCACCAGGUGAAUAGCCUCCGUCGUCGAGCGCCUGGGCAUAAAUCUAAACUGGUUCUCCGAAAUAGACACUAUCCUCCUCAACCUCAACUCAAACCACUCUCUCCUAAAUCUUCAUAGUGUGACUCAAUAACUUAACACCCCUAUAGUUGUUGCAGCUCUGAAUGUCACCUUUGUUUUUAUAAAGAGGGAUCAUAGUACUCCAUCUCUAAGCCUUGGGCAAUUUCGCCGUCUUGAAAAUGUCGUUAAACAAUUCAGUCAACCACCUUAGACCAGCGUCGCCAGAAAGCUUCCAAAAAUCCACAGGAAUCUCAUCAGGCCCUGUUGCCCUACCCCUUCACAUCCUGCGAACCUCCUCUCUGACGCCCCUCCACCUUAAAACGUCUACAAUAACUAAAAUCACGACACUCCUCUGAAUGCUCCAGCUCCCCUAACUUAAUACUCUAUCCCCUUCAUCGUUCAAAAGCCUAUGAAAAUAUGACUGGCAUCUUUUCUUAAUGUGACUGUCCUUCACCAACACUCUACCAUCCUCCCCCUUAAUGCACUUCACCUGGUCGAGGUCACGACCCUUUCUCUCCCUAGACUUAGCAAGCCUAAACAACCUUUUUCUCCUCCUUUCUCCUUUAACCCCGCAUACAAGCUCUUAAACGCUGCCAUCUUAGCAGCCGUAACAACUAACUUAGCCUCCUUCCCAGCUAACUUGUACUCCUCCCUAUUAACCCGGUUUUCCUCUUCAUCCUUACUCUCAACCAACUUAGCAUACGCCCCUUUUUUAGUCUCCACUUUCUUCUUAACUUCUUCAUUCCACCACCAAUCCCCCCGACGAUGACCGGCCCGGCCCCUAGAAACACCCAACACCUCCCUAGCAGUCUCCUUGAUGCGCCUAGACACCUUAUCCCACGUACCAUCCACGUCCCCCCAUACUCCCACCCCUCAUACCUGCUACCUUCUCCCCUAUCUCCUGCGCAUUCACCGGUGUCAAGUCGCCCCACUUAAUUCUAGGUCGACCUUCUCACCUUUUUUUUUUUUUUCCUACUUCAUACCCAAGUCCAUCACCAAGAGCCUAUGCUGGGUUGAAAGGUUCUUACUCGGAAUGACCUUACAGUCCUUACACAACACCUUAUCCCCUUUCCUAAGCAGAAAAAAGUCAAUUUGGGUCUUGGCUAUCGCGCUUUAAAAGGUGAUCGUCCUUCUUCGGAAAGCUUGAAUUCACCACCACCAGCCCAAAGGACCUCGCAAAAUCCAACAGAGCGACUCCCUCUUCAUUUCUAUCCCCAAAACCAAAACCACCAUGCUCAUCGCCAAAGCCUCCCGGUAACGCCCCGAUGUGCCCAUUGAAAUCCCCUGCUACCACAAUCUUCUCCGAGCUAGGCAUGUCUCUCACCAGCUUAUCCAAAGCCUCCCAAAAUCGCAUCUUCUCUUCCCCAUUCAAGCCCACCUGCGGAGCAUAAACACUACACACGUUCAUGGUACACCUCCCAAUGACUAACUUAAUAGUCAUCAACCUAUCGCUGAUCCUCUUAACCUCCACUACAUGCUCUCUAAACUCUUCAUCGACUAAGAUGCCAACUCCAUUCCUACGCCUAUCGCUUCCAGAGUACCAAAGCUUGUAACCAUCCACAUCCCUAUCCGUAGACCCUACUCACUUAGUCUCCAGGACACACGCAAUAUUAAUCCUCCUCUUUCUAAGAAUCUUCACAAGCUCUAUGGACUUACCCUGGAGAGUCCCUAUAUUCAAAGACCCAACCCUCAGCCUGUCAACUCUAGCAACACGUCUUCCUCUACCGCCCCUAACGCCAGACCUUGCCCCUACUCCCACACUAGCCCUUCCCUCCUCCUGCACCCUCAAAACAGCCCCCCGCCCCAACCCCCUCAGACAUGACCCUAUCCUACCAUCAAUGCCCACAGCCACUACUCCAAGUAAAAAACCGCGAAAGAAAAAAAAACAAACAACGAAAGUAACAAAGCAACGACAGGAAAUACAAGGUACGUGUAAAGUAGAUGGAAUAAUCUAGAAAAAAGUCAAUCCCAAAAAUUAAAAACAAGUCAAGAGAUGAAAUAAUCAAGAAAAAGUAGAUGGCAAAGGUUAGAAGUCACCGGAUUAGCUAACUGAUGCAGAAAAUUUUACCGGAA